rnacentral:lncRNA from 1 species
GUCCUAGGCUUCGUCUGCUCCGCCUGGCACGGCGAACUCGCGGUCCGCCACGUGCGCUGGAUUGUUACAGACCUAUUGCUACUACAGCUAUCUAGAAGAAGAGAGAAAGAUGCGAGGUAGAAGAAAGAGAGACGGGUAUGAUGUUCUUCUGUUAUUUCUUAAUCUCCUCUGUUACAGCCAAGCAUGCUUUAUAUUUGCUAUUAAUUGCUGUUACCAAUCAUGGGCCUCUAACUGGACCAGACAUCUUCAGGAUACCGCCAGGGCCGGGCCAGCAUAAUUCAAGGCCCUGUACCGAUUUUUUCUUUUUUUUCUUUGUUAAGAAUAGAGGGUAUAGAUUAAUCUCAUUUAUUAACCGUGAUUGAAUUAUUAAUGUGGGAAAUCGUUUAAUAACGGUAACGAAUGAUCUUAACGUUUGGAUGUUAUGCCAGCAUGUGCUAGCUGCACUUCGCCAUAUAGCUAAAAUGAGUUGCAUAACAGAUUGGUACUCGGUUGUUACGACAAACACUAUAUUUUAUUCUUAUCGAGCUGACUUAGCUAGACUUUCUAAUCAUUACUAAAAUUUGUAUUGAUUAAACUAUCGCUAACUAUUAUUUUAGGGGCCCUUAGAGGGAGGGGGCCCUGUUCUUGUGCACCGGUGGCACAUGCCCCCCGCCCGGGCCUGGAUACAGCGUAUUGGGUUUACGUACACGCCGACCCAAUUCCGCAGCCUGCUUUCCCUUCUGAGCCUCACCUUCUUUGGUCUGAAUACUGACAUUUCCCCUGUCUUGAUUUGCCGCUUGACCCCAAGCGGCUGCACGUGGAAAACGUCGGCGAAUGUCGAACUCAUCUUCCCAAGUGUCAAGAGCAGCAUCACAUCCAGACCAUCGAACCAGCACUUGAGGUACUUGAGUCCCUCCACGAGUAAUGACACGGUGUUGGAUAAUCUGCACUGGAACACGCAGUGUGUCCGGAAUAACUGGAAGAGACUUACUCACCAAACAGCUGGGAUGUAGAGAUGGCUUUAACUGGGAUACGUGAAAUACAGGAUGAACUGAAGCUGAUUCAGGAAGCUUUAGCUUGUAGGCAACCUUCCCAACUCGCUGCAGGAUUUCAAAUGGCCCAAAGUAUUUAUAAGCAAGCUUAUGGUUAGCACGAACAGCCACUGACGACUGGACAUAAGGUUGCAGCCUCAGAUAGACCAUGUCUCCAACUUGAUAUUCACAAUCUGAUCGACGCUUGUCAGCCUGAUUCUUCAUUCUCUGUUGUGCUCGAAGGAGAUGAUGCCGGACAGACCUUAUCAUGAGUUCACGUUGAGAAAGCCAGAGAUUAAGGUAGGCAUGAUUCACUGAGUCAUCAACAGACAAACCAAAAUGGCGAGGAGAGUGACCAUACAACACCUCAAAAGGAGACCGACCCAAAGAAGUGUGGAAACAACAAUUAUACCAAUACUCAACCGUUGGAAGCCAAGAAGACCACUUGGAUGGGCACGACUGUACAAAACAGCGCAAGUACGUCUCCACACAUUGGUUUACACGUUCCGUUUGUCCAUUGGUUUGUGGGUGGUAGGAGGAGCUCAUAUGAAGUUGAGUCCCUGACAACCUGAACAACUCCUUCCAUAAUGAACUUGUGAAGAUGCGGUCUCGGUCAGAUACAAUAGAAUCAGGCAUGCCAUGGAGACGAUAAACUGCUGUCAUGAAAACCUUAGCAACUGUCAGUGCUGUAAAGGGAUGACGCAUGGCCACAAAAUGAGCAUAUUUGGACAGCCUGUCCACAAUCACCAAGAUGGUAUUAUAGUUCCCUGACCUUGGCAAUCCCUCAAUAAAGUCUAAGGAAAUUGCCUGCCAAGCUUGUUGUGGCACAGGAAGGGGCUGCAGAAGUCCAGGAUACCGAGAACGGUCGGGCUUAGCCUGAUGACAAACAAUACAUGCAGCUACAAAAUCCUUAAUGGUUUUCUUCAUACGAGGCCAACUGAAAAGUUGCUUGAUGCGUCGAUAUGUCACAGGAAACUCGGAAUGACCACCCAAGGCACUUGAAUGUAAAGCACUGAUCACCUUGGUCUGCAACUGAGAAUUGUUCCCUAGCCAGACACGAUUCUUGAACCGAAUAACUCCAUUAUGCAGACUGUAAGGAGGCUGAGAUCCUGCUGACAACGCAGCCAGCAAUUUUAGAGCUUCAGAGUCUGUUGCAUAACCGGCCACCACAUCCUGUAACCAGGCUGGUGAAACCAUAGUAAGAGCAAGACAAGCGGAAUCCGUGUGGUGGGGGCGACGAGACAAUGCAUCUGCAGCAGCGUUAUCCACUCCCUUCUUAUAGACAAUGCGAUAUUGCAGCCCCAGUAACUUGGUAAACACUUUCUGUUGCCAGGGUGUGUGAAGACGCUGCUCGUUCAAAUGAGACAAACUGCGAUGAUCAGUGAGAAUAAGGAACUCGGCAUGUUGCAAAUAAGAUCCCCACUGGUCUACAGCAAGAAGAACGGCCAAGUAUUCUUUUUCAUAUGCUGACAGACCCAAAUGUGCCGGCCCCAAGGCUUUACUGACAAAUGCUAAGGGAUGGCCAUCCUGUUGAAGCACUGCACCAAUACCACUUCCCGACGCAUCAGUCUCAAUGGCAAAUGGUCUAUGAAAGUUGGGCAAAGCCAAAAAUGGUGCCGAGGAUAGAGCCUGUUUGAUAGCUUGAAAGGCAGAAUCUUGCACAUUGGUCCACACAAACACCACAUGUUUCUUAAGCAAAUUGGUCAGUGGCUUAGCCAAGAUGCCAAAAUUCUUAACAAAUUUCCUAUAGUAGCCGGCAAGACCCAAGAAUCCCCUCAGCUCUUUGCAUGUAGUAGGAAUAGGCCAAGAAGAGACCGCAGAAACUUUAGAUGGAUCAGUAGCCACUCCAGCUUGGCUAAUAAUAUGACCCAAAUAAGAGAUCUCUUGGCGACCAAAAGAACACUUCGACAAUUUUACUUGCCAACAAUCUUUGACCAGCAACUGUAACACUGAUUCUAUAUGAAGCAAGUGAUCCUCCCAAGUGGGGCUAUAUACCAGAAUAUCAUCGAAGAAGACCAAGACACAUUUUCUGAGAAGGGAUGAUAGGGUCUUGUUCAUGGCACCCUGGAACGUAGCAGGUGCUCCAGUAAGUCCAAAAGACAUAACUCGAAACUCAUAGUGACCAUUAUGUGUUUGAAAGGCUGUCUUGUGCUGGUCUUGGGGGGCCAUUCUUAUUUGAUGGAAUCCAGCUCGAAGAUCCAACGUGGAAAACCAAGCAGCACCAUGUAACUCGUCAAGGAACUCAUCGACCACAGGUAUAGGGAACCGAGUCUUAACAGUAAUAGCAUUCAGAUGUCGGUAAUCCACACAAAAACGAUAUGUAUCAUCUUUCUUUUUGACCAAUAUGACUGAAGAAGAGAAUUCGCUUUGACUAGGUUGAAUAAUCCCAGCAGCCAACAUCUCAGCUACUUGUUUUUCAACUUCAGUCUUGAGUGCUGGUGCAUACCUAUAAGGUCUCAUAUGGAAAGAUUGAACACCAGGUAACAGGUGGAUAUGAUGAUCACAUUCUCUGGGAGGUGGCAACCCUUUAGGCACUGCAAAGACAGACUGAUACUGAGACAGCAAAGACUGAAGAUCAGCUGGUAAUGUAGAAAGAAUAGUUUGAUCCUUUUCCUGCAACUCAGUGAUAUGGCACAUUUCAAUUACUGAAUAUUGUUCUCUGGAUGAUUGCAACCCAAACAAUUGUCUUGCAGAGCCUUUAUAAGAAAUGAUCAGAGACUUAUCUGCCCAAUGGACCCACAUAGGGUUGUACUGUUCAAGCCAGUCCAUACCAACAAUCAAGUCAUAAGUCUGGAGUGGUAAUACACGCAAUGUAGUUUGAAACUCACAACCACCGAGGGACCAAGUAGUUUGUACCAUUUCAUGAGUGCACUGGAGCCUAGAACCAUUUGCCACCUGAACCGACAAUACUUGGGGCAAGAGAGUGAGGCCCUGCAGCUGAUCAGCCACCUGAGAGCUGACAAAGGAGUGGGAACUUCCAGAAUCCAGCAAUACCAAAAGAUCCACACCCUGAAUACUGCCCAAGAACUGCAUUGUCUUAGGAUUAUGUGCCUUUUCUACUGCUGCCUGAGAUAGACUCAUAACAUGGAGUUCUCCUGAAACCUCAGACCGACAGUCAUCUUCUUGUUCAGGGACUUGCAAAAAUUGGCACAACUCUUCAACAACAUGCAAUUGUAUUGUUUCAGCACAGCGAUGUCCUUUGGAAUAUUGCAUACCACACUUGUAGCAUAGGCCUUUGGCUUUACGAUAAGCAAAUAAGGAAGCAACCUUAUCCUCAGCAUACACCCCUUUGGUCACUUGCCCAGACAACUGCUCAGUCUGUCGAGGAGAAGAAGCUGAAUGUGGAGGUAACGGCAACGGCAAGGGAUUCUUGCUCAAUGUCUUGGAAGGAAACGACGCCUCAUAUCUUCUGGAAUCCUUUCUCUGGCCAGCAGCCUCCUCCUGCAAUUGAGCGAGAACAAAAGCAGUAUCCAAAUCUCGAGGGCGCUGCACCAUAACCACAGAACGAAUAUCUUCGCGAAGGCCAUCAACGAAACACAUGAUAUGGUAGAGAGGAUCCGAAUUUGGACAAUAAGCGCGCAACUGAUCUAUGAGCUGUGAAAAUCGUUCCACAUAAUCAGCGACACUGGAAGUUUGCCUAAUAUGGAAUAACUGUCUAACUAGAACAGCAUGUUGAUCCUUGCCGAACCGGUCCCUAACCAAGUGGCAAAAGUCCAACCAAGAAAUAUGAGCCAGCUGCACUUCAACAGAUUGGAGCCAACGAGCAGCGGCACCCGUGAAGUACAUCGUGGAUACCUUGAUCCACACAGUAGGAUCUACCGAAUACAUGGCAAAAUAAUCUUCCAAACGUUUCUGCCAAAGCUUGGGACUAUCGCCAUCAAAACCAGGGAAAUUCAUCUUAGGCAGUUGCCCCAAAUAGUGAGAGGACUGGUCCUGGAAUCUACCCGCAAUACUAUCGGGAGGAACCAUCGGAUGAAAAGAAUUGGAGCCAGGAAUCGUACCAUUGUGCGGGAGUAGGCCUUGGGUAUAUCCCAACCCAUAGCCUUCCUCCCGACGAUGAUGAACAUCACGGUGCCCAUGAGGGCCAUCGAUGUGUGGCGAGGUAGCAGGUGGGCGCCCGAGAACACCAGCGUGGGAAGGUGACACGCGAUGAUCACUGUCGAACCGGCUGGACAUGCGUGACACAUCAACUCGGAGUGCGUCCGCAGCUGACUGGGCCGUGACCACCGAGUGCUCGACGAAAGGCCUCCAUGACUCAAGCACUGCGACACGCUUGGAAAGCGCGCCAUCCACCUCGUCGAUUCGUUCCAAUGUUCUGGACUGGAACUCGGCUGCCUUCGUGUCGAACUGCAUCGACAACGACUUGGACAACUCUGCAUGGGCAACAUCCUUCUCCUGAAGCUGCCUGGUCAGGAUGCUGAUGGAUGUAGAAUUGCGAGCGACUGAGCGUUCGAGCGCUUCCCAGUGACGAUCCUGGGCAUCCAGACGGUCGCAGAUUUGUUGCAGCAACUGGGCUUGUGUCGCCAUGGUCUUUGCCUGAGCAUCCAACGCAUCUGCUACGACCGAAUCGGCCACACCCGUCAUCAGAACUCGUGGCGCAGAGACUCCCCGCAGGAUCAACAAAGUCUGAUACCAAUUGUUACAGACCUAUUGCUACUACAGCUAUCUAGAAGAAGAGAGAAAGAUGCGAGGUAGAAGAAAGAGAGACGGGUAUGAUGUUCUUCUGUUAUUUCUUAAUCUCCUCUGUUACAGCCAAGCAUGCUUUAUAUUUGCUAUUAAUUGCUGUUACCAAUCAUGGGCCUCUAACUGGACCAGACAUCUUCAGGAUACCGCGUAUUGGGUUUACGUACACGCCGGCCCAAUUCCGCAGCCUGCUUUCCCUUCUGAGCCUCACCUUCUUUGGUCUGAAUACUGACAUGGCGGUAGCGCCGGGCAGCAGUGGUGUUGAUCGUGGCGG